CCUACGGGAGGCAGCAGUGAGGAAUAUUGGUCAAUGGGCGAGAGCCUGAACCAGCCAAGUCGCGUGAAGGAUGAAGGAUCUAUGGUUUGUAAACUUCUUUUAUAAGGGAAUAAAGUGUGGGACGUGUCCUAUUUUGUAUGUACCUUAUGAAUAAGGAUCGGCUAACUCCGUGCCAGCAGCCGCGGUAAUACGGAGGAUCCGAGCGUUAUCCGGAUUUAUUGGGUUUAAAGGGUGCGUAGGCGGCCUUUUAAGUCAGGUGUGAAAGUCUGUGGCUCAACCAUAGAAUUGCCGUUGAAACUGGGGGUCUUGAGUAUGUGUGAGGCAGGCGGAAUGCGUGGUGUAGCGGUGAAAUGCUUAGAUAUCACGCAGAACCCCGAUUGCGAAGGCAGCCUGCCAAGCCAUGACUGACGCUGAUGCACGAAAGCGUGGGGAUCAAACAGGAUUAGAUACCCUUGUAGUC
rnacentral:rRNA from 1 species